UACGGAGGGUGCGAGCGUUGUCCGGAAUCACUGGGCGUAAAGGGCGCGUAGGUGGCGGGUCAAGCGUGCGGUGAAAGCUCGGGGCUCAACCCCCGAGUCGGCCGUGCGAACUAGCUUGCUUGAGCACUGUAGAGGCAGAUGGAAUUCCGGGUGUAGCGGUGGAAUGCGUAGAGAUCCGGAAGAACACCGGUGGCGAAGGCGGUCUGCUGGGCAGUUGCUGACACUGAGGCGCGACAGCGUGGGGAGCAAACAGG
rnacentral:rRNA from 1 species